rnacentral:rRNA from 1 species
CCUACGGGUGACAGCAGUGAGGAAUAUUGGUCAAUGGACGCAAGUCUGAACCAGCCAUGCCGCGUGCAGGAAGAAGGCUCUAUGAGUUGUAAACUGCUUUUGUACGAGGGUAAACGCAGGUACGCGUAUCUGUCUGAAAGUAACGUACGAAUAAGGAUCGGCUAACUCCGUGCCAGCAGCCGCGGUAAUACGGAGGAUGCAAGCGUUAUCCGGAUUUAUUGGGUUUAAAGGGUGCGUAGGCGGUUGGAUAAGUUAGAGGUGAAAUCCCGAGGCUCAACCUCUGAAUUGCCUUUGAUACUGGUCGACUAGAGAGGAGGUGCGGUAGGCGGAAUGUAUGGUGUAGCGGGGAAAUGCUUAGAGAUCAUGCAGAACACCGAUUGCGAAGGCAGCUUACCAAGCUACUUCUGACGCUGAGGCACGAAAGCGUGGGGAGCAAACAGGAUUAGAUACCCGAGUAGUC